rnacentral:rRNA from 1 species
GUAUGGCCUGCCCGCUGACAUUUGGUGUUGAAGGGCCGCGGUAUUUUGACCGUGCAAAGGUAGCAUAAUCAUUAGUUCUUUAAUUGUGAUCUGGAAUGAAUGGCUUGACGAGGCACGGGCUGUCUUAGUGUUGAAUGUUUUAUUGAAUUUGGUCUUUGAGUUAAAAUUCUUAGAUGUUUUUGUGGGACGAGAAGACCCUAUAGAGUUUGACAUUUGGUUUAUUUACUUGUUUGUUGUUUGUUUAUUUUUGGUGAGUGGGCUUUUUGUUUUGUUGGGGUGAUGGGAGGAAUGUACUUAACUCCUCUUAGUUUUGGUUAUAUUGGUUUAUAAUUGUUUGAUCCAUUUAUUUUGAUUAUAAGACUAAAUUACCUUAGGGAUAACAGCGUUAUCUUCCUUGAGAGUUCUUAUCGGCAGGGGGGUUUGCGACCUCGAUGUUGGAUUAA